AUUGAACGCUGGCGGCAUGCCUUACACAUGCAAGUCGAACGGCAGCACGGGUGCUUGCACCUGGUGGCGAGUGGCGAACGGGUGAGUAAUACAUCGGAACAUGUCCUGUAGUGGGGGAUAGCCCGGCGAAAGCCGGAUUAAUACCGCAUACGAUCUACGGAUGAAAGCGGGGGACCUUCGGGCCUCGCGCUAUAGGGUUGGCCGAUGGCUGAUUAGCUAGUUGGUGGGGUAAAGGCCUACCAAGGCGACGAUCAGUAGCUGGUCUGAGAGGACGACCAGCCACACUGGAACUGAGACACGGCCCAGACUCCUACGGGAGGCAGCAGUGGGGAAUUUUGGACAAUGGGCGAAAGCCUGAUCCAGCAAUGCCGCGUGUGUGAAGAAGGCCUUCGGGUUGUAAAGCACUUUUGUCCGGAAAGAAAUGCUUGGCCCUAAUACGGUCGGGGGAUGACGGUACCGGAAGAAUAAGCACCGGCUAACUACGUG
rnacentral:rRNA from 1 species